rnacentral:rRNA from 1 species
AACUUUCAGCAACGGAUCUCUUGGCUCUCGCAUCGAUGAAGAACGCAGCGAAAUGCGAUAAGUAAUGUGAAUUGCAGAAUUCAGUUAAUCAUCGAAUCUUUGAACGCACCUUGCGCUCCUUGGUAUUCCGAGGAGCAUGCCUGUUUGAGUGUCAUU